GUGGCUCAAUGGUAGAGCCAUGCCUUGCAUGCAUGAGGCCCUGGGUUCAAUUCCUCAGC
rnacentral:tRNA from 1 species